GAUGAAGAACGUAGCGAAAUGCGAUACGUAGUGUGAAUUGCAGAAUCCAGUGAAUCAUCGAAUCUUUGAACGCACAUUGCGCCCGCCAGUAUUCUGGCGGGCAUGCCUGUCCGAGCGUCAUUUCAACCCUCGAGCCCCCCCGGGGGGUCGGCGUUGGGGAUCGGCUGUCAAGUCAAGACUGCCGGCCCCGAAAUGCAGUGGCGGUCUCGCCGCAGCCUCUCCUGCGCAGUAGCUUGCACGCUCGCAACGGGAGCGCGGCGCGUCCACGGCCGUGAAGCAACCCAAACUUCUGAAAGGUUGACCUCGGAUCAGGUAGGAAUACCCGCUGAACUUAAGCAUAUCAAUAAGCGGAGGA
rnacentral:misc_RNA from 1 species